GGCGUGCAUGAUUGAGCCUUGCCGCUAUACGUGUUGCUACUCUACUGCUGGGACUGCUUCAUUUGAGAGGAUGCACUGGGUGGAUGCCACUGAUGCUUGUUCUUCGCCAAAACCAAAGGAGUUGCUGCUUUCCAUGGUCGGCCGCGGCUUCUUCACCAAGGGCAACUACUUGGCAACCCAACGACCUCCUCCAACCCUUCAGGGCUAGCUGCUAGCUAUUGGAUUUGGAGUGCAUCUCUGGUUGAUUCAACAUCAGAAUUAGUGAAUGAGUUCAGAUUGUUGGGCAUCAUAAGCUGUCAAAGUUCUUUCUUUGUUGGUCUGAUGUUUAAGAUGAAAAUAGAGCAUAUAAUAGGAUGUCCACCUGCUUCGUGAGAAUUGCCCUCUGAAAGCUAAGUUUCUUGAUCUUAUACUCCUUGGGCAAACUAUAUUGUUACUUAGGUAGUCAAUUUGGAGUGACAAAAUGAUCUGACUAGCUUGGAACCCUGAGAAUGCACUGCUGUGUAUGUUCUAAUGAACAUUGGACCUGAAGUGCUGUUAACAUUUUGGUGCAUGUUCAGUAAAAAGACAAGUAAUCAGAAGUACUGAGUGCAACGAGUUAAUACUCUACCAGUAGAAUAUGAUCUAUUGAUUUGCUGCAGCUAUAUUAACCCAGACUAUACAUUUAUUUGAGCAGAUUCAUCGGAGUCUUAGUAAGUAUCUGUAUCCACAUGUUCAUCAAUCCCUUUUUCGUAAUAGGUUAUAUGUAUAGUGGGAUCCUGAAGUGGUCCUCAGGUCAUUUAGGUAGAUUAUGCACAUUUGAGUUCAUGGUGUGCACCAUCAUGUCUCCUGAAUGCUAUACAGUUCUAUCAUUUCACAAGGACAUUGCAUUUUCUGCAUUGAGGCCUGUAGUAAGUAUCUGUAUCCACAUGUUCAUCAAUCCCUUUUCCGUAAUAGGUUAUAUGUAUAGUGGGAUCCUGAAGUGGUCCUCAGGUCAUUUAGGUAGAUUAUGCACAUUUGAGUUCAUGGUGUGCACCAUCAUGUCUCCUGAAUGCUAUACAGUUCUAUCAUUUCACAAGGACAUUGCAUUUUCUGCAUUGAGGCCUGGGUUGACACCGCAAGGUAAAAAAAUUGGUCAGAGACUUAACUGGGCGUCCAAAUUUGAAAACACGAUAGAAAAUAAUAUGCUAUAAUUGGUAGUGUUACAGUUUAACAAACAAUAUUGGAGCACAUGAAAAUAGGUCGGCUUUGUCUGCCAUUCAUGUCAUAGCAGUUGCCUUUUUUCCUUUACUUAACUCGGGAGGGUCAUUUAUUUU